UACGAAGGGGGCUAGCGUUGUUCGGAAUUACUGGGCGUAAAGCGCACGUAGACGGGUUGUUAAGUCAGGGGUGAAAUCCCGGAGCUCAACUCCGGAACUGCCUUUGAUACUGGCAACCUAGAGGCUGGAAGAGGUUAGUGGAAUUCCCAGUGUAGAGGUGAAAUUCGUAGAUAUUGGGAAGAACACCAGUGGCGAAGGCGGCUAACUGGUCCAGUACUGACGCUGAGGUGCGAAAGCGUGGGGAGCAAACAGG
rnacentral:rRNA from 1 species